UACGUAGGGUGCAAGCGUUAAUCGGAAUACUGGGCGUAAAGCGUGCGCAGGCGGUUAUGUAAGACAGUUGUGAAAUCCCCGGGCUCAACCUGGGAACUGCAUCUGUGACUGCAUAGCUAGAGUACGGUAGAGGGGGAUGGAAUUCCGCGUGUAGCAGUGAAAUGCGUAGAUAUGCGGAGGAACACCGAUGGCGAAGGCAAUCCCCUGGGCCUGCACUGACGCUCAUGCACGAAAGCGUGGGGAGCAAACAGG
rnacentral:rRNA from 1 species